UAAAGUGGACAAUAAUAUCAU
rnacentral:piRNA from 1 species